rnacentral:rRNA from 1 species
CCUACGGGUGGCAGCAGUGAGGAAUAUUGGUCAAUGGACGAGAGUCUGAACCAGCCAAGUAGCGUGAAGGAUGACUGCCCUAUGGGUUGUAAACUUCUUUUAUAUGGGAAUAAAAUGCUCCACGUGUGGGAUUUUGUAUGUACCAUAUGAAUAAGGAUCGGCUAACUCCGUGCCAGCAGCCGCGGUAAUACGGAGGAUCCGAGCGUUAUCCGGAUUUAUUGGGUUUAAAGGGAGCGUAGGUGGAUUGUUAAGUCAGCUGUGAAAGUUUGCGGCUCAACCGUAAAAUUGCAGUUGAAACUGGCAGUCUUGAGUACAGUAGAGGUGGGCGGAAUUCGUGGUGUAGCGGUGAAAUGCUUAGAUAUCACGAAGAACUCCGAUUGCGAAGGCAGUUCACUGGACUGCAACUGACACUGAGGCUCGAAAGUGUGGGUAUCAAACAGGAUUAGAUACCCCAGUAGUC